GGGCCAUUAGCUCAAUUGGCAGAGCAGCGGACUCUUAAUCCGUUGGUUCAAGGUUCGACUCCUUGAUGGCCCACCA
rnacentral:tRNA from 2 species